UACGGAGGGUGCGAGCGUUGUCCGGAAUCACUGGGCGUAAAGGGCGCGUAGGCGGCCUGAUAAGUAGGGGGUGAAAUCCUGCGGCUUAACCGCAGGGCUGCCUUCUAAACUGUCAGGCUCGAGCACAGUAGAGGCAGGUGGAAUUCCCGGUGUAGCGGUGGAAUGCGUAGAUAUCAAGAGGAACACCUGAGGCGAAGGCGGGUUGCUAGGCUGACACUGACGCUGAGGCGCGAAAGCUAGGGUAGCAAACGGG
rnacentral:rRNA from 1 species